AAAUUGAAGAGUUUGAUCAUGGCUCAGAUUGAACGCUGGCGGCAGGCCUAACACAUGCAAGUCGAACGGUAACAGGAAGCAGCUUGCUGCUUUGCUGACGAGUGGCGGACGGGUGAGUAAUGUCUGGGAAACUGCCUGAUGGAGGGGGAUAACUACUGGAAACGGUGGCUAAUACCGCAUAAUGUCGCAAGACCAAAGAGGGGGACCUUCGGGCCUCUUGCCAUCAGAUGUGCCCAGAUGGGAU
rnacentral:rRNA from 1 species